rnacentral:rRNA from 1 species
CCUACGGGUGGCAGCAGUGAGGAAUAUUGGUCAAUGGGCGCGAGCCUGAACCAGCCAAGUAGCGUGAAGGAUGACUGCCCUACGGGUUGUAAACUUCUUUUAUAAAGGAAUAAAGUGAGGCACGUGUGCCUUUUUGUAUGUACUUUAUGAAUAAGGAUCGGCUAACUCCGUUCCAGCAGCCGCGGUAAUACGGAGGAUCCGAUCGUUAUCCGGAUUUAUUGGGUGUAAAGGGAGCGUAGAUGGGUUGUUAAGUCAGUUGUGAAAGUUUGGGGCUCAACCGCAAAAUUGCAAUUGAUACUGGCAGCCUUGAGUACAGUUGAGGUAGGCGGAAUUCGUGGUGUAGCGGUGAAAUGCUUAGAUAUUACGAAGAACUCCGAUUGCGAAGGCAGCUUACUAAACUGCAACUGACAUUGAUGCUCGAAAGUGUGGGUAUCAAACAGGAUUAGAUACCCCAGUAGUC